GAUAUUAAGAAGCAUACAGCAGAAGAGAACCCAGAUAAAAUAACUCUAGAGAGAGCCAUUGAAUCAUUAAAGGAAGUGAUGACACAUAUUAAUGAAGACAAAAGAAAAACAGAGGCACAAAGGCAGUUCUUUGACGUCGUCUAUGAAGUUGAUGGAUGUCCUGCCAAUCUCUUGUCCUCUCACCGAAGCUUAGUUCAGCGUCUGGAAACCGUAGCGCUUGGCGAUGACCUCUGUGACAGGGGAGAACAGGUCACACUCUUUCUCUUCAAUGAUUGCCUAGAG